rnacentral:rRNA from 1 species
AUGAAGCUGGAAUUGCUAGUAAUGGCAGGUCAGCAUACUGCCGUGAAUACGUUCCCGGGCCCUUGUACACACCGCCCGUCACACCAUGAGAGUUGGAAAUACCCGAAGCCUGUGAGCUAACAGUAAUGAGGCAGCAGUCGAAGGUAGAGCCAAUGAUUGGGGUGAAGUCGUAACAAGGUACC